AACGAACGCUGGCGGCAGGCUUAACACAUGCAAGUCGAACGGGUGCAGCAAUGCAUCAGUGGCAGACGGGUGAGUAACACGUGGGAACCUUCCUAGGGGUACGGAACAACUCAGGGAAACUUGAGCUAAUACCGUAUACGUCCGUGAGGAGAAAGAUUUAUCGCCCUUAGACGGGCCCGCGUCGGAUUAGGUAGUUGGUGGGGUAACGGCCUACCAAGCCUACGAUCCGUAGCUGAUCUUAGAGGAUGAUCAGCCACACUGGGACUGAGACACGGCCCAGACUCCUACGGGAGGCAGCAGUGGGGAAUCUUGGACAAUGGGCGCAAGCCUGAUCCAGCCAUGCCGCGUGAGUGAAGAAGGCCUUAGGGUUGUAAAGCUCUUUUACCAGGGACGAUAAUGACGGUACCUGGAGAAUAAGCCCCGGCAAACUUCGUGCCAGCCGCCGCAGUAACAC
rnacentral:rRNA from 1 species